rnacentral:lncRNA from 1 species
GGUGAUUGGGGCAGUGUGGCAUCCACAGCAACCUAGACCCCAGCUCUGGGCUCAAUUCCUGGCUUCACUGGGUAGUGUCUGUGUGAUGCUGAGGAUAAAAUUCCUUAAAUGCCUAAACUUCAGCUUCUUCAUCUAUAAAACCAGGGAAUCAAGAAUAUUCAGGAUGGGGAAAACAUUUUAAAAUAAAAACAAAACCAGGGUAAUAACCAUUCCUGCCUCACAGAGCCAUGUGAGGACUGAGUGAGAUAAUCUGCAGUGCCUGGCACACCACAAGGACUCAGCGAGCUUGGCCGAGGUUGUUGUUCUGUUUCUACUGCUGCUAUUGCCUCUGUUCCCAGCAGCUCCACUAGUUAAGCAUUUCUUACAUACCAGGCCCUGUGCUAAGGGCAUUGCAUGCUUAAUUUCACAGAAUUUUCCCAAUUCAAAAGGUGGAUCACCCCCAACUUCACACAGUUGGGAAGUAGCAGAUGUAGGACAUGAACCAGGGCUAUCUAUCUCCAGAGCCUGGGGUAUUUGACCAUUACCCUGAACUGCCCCCACCAAUUUCCUAGGUUCUGAGCAUCACACAAGCGUCCUCUGGAGAAUUAGGUCUAGAAACUUACACCAGUAGCAGGGGGCAAAGCAGUUCUGAUGGAAUAGCUCAUACAGCAGGGCUACCAUGCUACUCCCUGCCACUAGGUGUCACUAUACAACACAGUUCCUGAAAGUAGCUCAGAACCUGUAGGGCACUGAUUUGCAAAACAUGGUCUCUGAUCUUCAACACCACCCGAGAACUUACUAGAAAUGCAAAUCUUUACAGUCCGGGUGCAGUGGCUCACGCCUGUAAUCGCAGCACUUUGGGAGGCCGAGGUGGGCAGAUCAUGAGGUCAGGAGAUCAAGACCAUCCGGGCCAACAUGGUGAAAACCAGUCUCUACUAAAAAUACAAAAAUUAGCUGGGAAUGGUGGUGCACGCCUGUAGUCCCAGCUACUCCUGAGGCUGAGGCAGGAGAAUCACUUGAGCCAGGGAGGUGGAGGUUGCAGUGAGCUGAGAUGGCGCCACUGCACUCCAGCCUGGCGACAGAGCUAGACUUCAUCUCAAAAAAAAAAAAAAAAAGAAAAAAAAAAGAGAUGCAAAUCUUGGCUCCCAACCUGAAUCAAACUCUGGGGGAAAGCCCAGCACCGUGUCUUUCAGCAAGCCCUUCAGGUGAUUUGGACGUGCUACCAGUUGAGAACCACUACUCUGGGGCACGAGGUUGCUCUUGACUUUAUGUUGCUCUAACAUUGAUCUUCCGUGAAAUACAGGGCCCAGGCCUGUCCUUCUGGCUGCUCUGGAGAAAUGAGCAAUUGAAGAAAUCAGGUCUGUGGCUCAACCAGGUGGGGCUUCCCUGAGGGCUCAGGGAAAAGAUAAGGCACAAUGCUCCCAUAGGAUGUCCUUCUCGGACACCUACCCACCUGUAGGGCAGGGGCAAGCCACCGCAAGGAAUGGCCAGAUUGUGCCUCCAACAGCUCUCUGUGGCUGUCGAGGGUGGGAGGGGUCGGAGGAGAGGCAGGAAGCCCAGUGAGGAAGGAGGUGGCAGGAGGAACGCCCUGGAGCCAGCUGGAGGGACUGAAGAGAGAUUAGGAGGGAUGGGGAGGAGUGAGUGACAGUUGGUUUAUGAGGGACAGAAGGAGUCAGCGAUAUUCCCCAGAGAUGAAGAAUGAGCUGCCGUCCAGAGAGGGCACCCAGGGCAGCCCAGUUUGGGGGAGGGGAGGGGCUGAGGUGGUGCUCUGGCCCUGGUGACCGCGUGCAGGCUGUGACGGUGGCGUCUGGGGCCUAAGUUUCCGAGUUGGGGGAGGGGGCACACAUGGAGAAAGCGGGGAGGCUCAGUGUGGCGCCCGGGGCCAGGCCUCACCGCUUUGUUUUCGUAGAGCACCAGCCCGUAGUUGUGGGGCACGAGGCUGAAGCGGUUUCUCCACUUCUUGCUGUCCUCCUGGUGCUGGAAGAGGUUCCCCGAGAAGACGAUGCGCUCGUCCAGUGGCACCUGUGGGCAGGAGCGGGUGGGGAGUGAGGCCCAGGUCUGGGGGGGUGGUGCUCCCCAUGAAGCUGAUGGCCCAGCCAGCAGAGCCUGUGUGCGCACCCCCUGCCUAGCAUGUCCUCCAUUUUGGGUCUCCCCAAGUCCUCCCAAGGCCUCUGAGGCCGGGCUGCAUCUCAUCCAUUCUGCAGAGGAGGAGCGAGACUCGGAGCCGUGGAGGGGCUCACCCAGCAUCCAGGCAGGGUGGUGAUGCCAGGACUUGAACCCAGGACAGGCACUGAUGUAGGGCCUGG